GCGCAAACAAGGCAAAGGGGAAAAAGCCUGUCCCUCCCUCCCUCCACCUGCCCAGUGACUCAGAACAACUAGAAAUGGCAGCUUAACUCUCAGAAUACAGACAGAUAUAUCCAGCAGUCAGCGUGAGGGCAUCAGGAGUGCCAAGAAAGAAUAACCCGGAAGAGAACUUUUGUCUCGCAGCCAGAAAGAUGCUCCCAAGUGCUGCUGGAUCCACAACGCACGGCGGGGCAUCAAAAAUAAAGGAAAAUAAAAGGAAAA